rnacentral:rRNA from 1 species
UGCCAGACUCCUACGGGAGGCAGCAGUGGGGAAUAUUGCGCAAUGGGGGAAACCCUGACGCAGCAACGCCGCGUGAGUGAGGAAGUAUCUCGGUAUGUAAAGCUCUAUCAGCGGGGAAGAAGGAAGACGGUACCCGACUAAGAAGCCCCGGCUAACUACGUGCCAGCAGCCGCGGUAAUACGUAGGGGGCAAGCGUUAUCCGGAUUUACUGGGUGUAAAGGGAGCGUAGACGGCAUGGCAAGUCAGAUGUGAAAGCCCGGGGCUCAACCCCGGGACUGCAUUUGAAACUGUCAGGCUGGAGUGCAGGAGAGGUAAGUGGAAUUCCUAGUGUAGCGGUGAAAUGCGUAGAUAUUAGGAGGAACACCAGUGGCGAAGGCGGCUUACUGGACUGUAACUGACGUUGAGGCUCGAAAGCGUGGGGAGCAAACAGGAUUAGAUACCCGAGUAA